rnacentral:rRNA from 1 species
AAGGUAUUGGACCGGGGAAAUCUGCCCGCGCUUUGGGGCGGGGAGCACUUUCUCCGGAACGAGAGCCACGACCGGGUCUGCGGCUGCUCGCGAUAGCUUGAAGGUUGCCAUGCGCCUUGGCGCAAGGGGCUUGCAACGUGCAGUUCUCCAAGUCAGGUACGUCGCUGAGCCCGAGGACGUUUUACUCCCACCCCCCUCCAGCACCGAGUCGUCUUCGUGCACUCGACUGUGGCGCCACUGCUCGUUCUCCGCAGUGCUUCGCGACCGCGUGUGUCGACCAUGUCCCAGCGCCCGGAUGCGCUGAGGUUCAGUGGCGAAACAGUCGGUGCUCCAUCCAACCCGUCUUGAAACACGGAAGAAGGAGUUAAACAUGUGCGCAAGUUAUGGGGACCCUCGAAUCCCGAAGGCGCAAUGAAAAUGAAGGCCGCCUUAGCUGACCAAGGCAGGAUCCCGUCGCCAGGUGGGUGCACUGCCGGCCCGUUUCGAUAGCGGCCCGUUCGCUCGCGGCCGGUGCUCGUCUACGAGGCAGAGCAAGAGCGUGCACGUUGGUACCCGAAAGAUGGUGAACUAUGCCUGAGCAGAAUAAAGUCAGAGGUAACUCUGAUCGAGGUCCGCAGCGAUUCUGACGUGCAAAUCGAUCGUCAAACUUUGGUAUAGGGGCAAAAGACUA